AACCUUCCUACAAGUGGGGAAUAGCCCAGAGAAAUUUGGAUUAAUACCCCGUAACAUAACGAUGUGGCAUCACACUGUUAUUAUAGCUUCGGCGCUUGUUGAUGGGUGUGCGGCUGAUUAGGUAGUUGGCGGGGUAACGGCCCACCAAGCCUUCGAUCAGUAGCUGAUGUGAGAGCAUGAUCAGCCACACGGGCACUGAGACACGGGCCCGACUCCUACGGGAGGCAGCAGUAAGGAAUAUUGGACAAUGGGCGCAAGCCUGAUCCAGCCAUGCCGCGUGAAG
rnacentral:rRNA from 1 species